GUUCUCACUAGUACAAGUCCAUCAGAGAUCUGUAUCAAUGGAAUGUCUUUUUCUCGCCGUUCAUCCAAGUGGGCAAAUGCUGCCCUUGUUGUGACUGUUUCGACAAAUUUUGAUGCAUUGAAUUUCCAUGGACCUCUUGCUGGGGUUGAAUUUCAGAGGGAAUUCGAGCGAAGGGCAGCUAUAAUGGGAGGGGGAAAUUUGAUAGUCCCUGUGCACAGACUGUUACUUUUUUUAUGGAAAGUAAAAUAUCAGGUAAUAUUUUUCCUUGUUGAUUCCACGUUUCUUUUGCUUUUACUUUUCAUCUAGCUUAGACUUGCCUUGUUUUAUCAGUAACAUCCAUGCCGCCAUCAAGCUACCGCCUAGGAGUGAAGGUAGCCAAUCUCCAUGAAUUUUUCCCAAUUUAUGACAGAUGCUUUACGCUAUUCUAUUUCGACGUUUGACAAAGAGCUACCUGAAUUUUCUUAAAGGAGGCUCUUCUUCACGGGUUUGAGACUAGAAACUAGCUCUCCCAUUCAGAUUCGUGACAGUGACACUUACCCAGUUGGUGAAGGAGCAGGUUAUGCUGGUGGGGUUGUAAGUGCAGCAGUUGAUGGCAUGUAUACUGGUUUCUCUGUGGCAAAACAAUUUAAUUUGUUUCAAGGUGACAUCGAGUCAGUUUUAGGAAAGGCUCAGAGUGCUGGAAUGGUGAAGUACUAGAAGGGGUUUCGCACUUGUAUGACUAAAUGACUUUGCACGAGUACAUGCUCCUUUUGGAGUACAUGAUGACUUCAAAUGCAACUCCAGUUUUACUUCAGAAGAUGUACACUUCUUGAGCAUAUGAGCUAGUAUUACAUUCAUCAACAAGAGAUGUUUAAGCACUUGGGCUGGAAAUAGUUCUUAUUAUUUACCCUUAUCAGUGCAACAUAGAAUGCAGAUAGAUGGAAGGGUAAGAUUCUCCAUGUAAAUCUUUCCAAGUGUAUGGAAGUUUUAGUUUUGAGUUUCAUUCGGUCUGAAACUGAUGUGCCUUUUAUUCUUGUUGGUCUUGAGCCUGUCGAACGGUUUUUUAUUUUUUUUCCGGAAUUCUCUUUAAAAACUCGAAGGUGGCCAUGGCAGAGCAAAUAGAAGUCUGUAGCUGCUAAACUAACCCAAGACAUUCUUUGUUUUCUAUUUUCUUAGUUAGAGGCCAUUGAUGGAAGCAAAAAUACAA